UACGGAGGAUGCGAGCGUUAUCCGGAUUUAUUGGGUUUAAAGGGUGCGCAGGCGGCCUGUUAAGUCAGCGGUAAAAGCCCGGGGCUCAACCUCGUCGAGCCGUUGAAACUGGGUGCCUUGAGUGGGCGAGAAGUACGCGGAAUGCGUGGUGUAGCGGUGAAAUGCAUAGAUAUCACGCAGAACUCCGAUUGCGAAGGCAGCAUGCCGGCUUCCGACUGACGCUGAAGCACGAAAGCGUGGGGAUCGAACAGG
rnacentral:rRNA from 1 species